AUAUUCAAAAUUCUGCCCUUUAAAAUCGAUGGAGUUGUUGACAAAUGGUUCAGGGAAGAACUCUUCAGGAUCCUUCCAGUAGUUAGAAUCUCUUGCAAUUGCCCAAACAUUAAUAUGGAUUAACGUUUUGGGAUAUAUGCUGUGGCCAUUAAUUUUAAAGUGAGACAUGGUUUCCCUUGGAAGAAGUAGUGGAGCUGAAGGGUGCAAUCUCAGAGUCUCUUUUAUUACCAGCUUGAGCUAACUCUGCCAUUGCCCUGACGACUGUGGUGGCAGCUGUGUCUAUUCAAUCCAAAAAUACGUUCUGAUACAGAAGCAUCACAGAACAGCAUAAAGGUAUCUUAGUUUGGUUAUUGUCAUAAAAAUGAUAUGUAAAUAA
rnacentral:misc_RNA from 1 species